UACGUAGGGCGCAAGCGUUGUCCGGAAUUAUUGGGCGUAAAGAGCUCGUAGGCGGUUUGUCGCGUCUGUCGUGAAAGCCCACGGCUUAACCGUGGGUCUGCGGUGGAUACGGGCAGACUAGAGGCAGGUAGGGGAGAAUGGAAUUCCCGGUGUAGCGGUGAAAUGCGCAGAUAUCGGGAGGAACACCGAUGGCGAAGGCAGGUCUCUGGGCCACUACUGACGCUGAGAAGCGAAAGCAUGGGGAGCGAACAGG
rnacentral:rRNA from 1 species